rnacentral:rRNA from 2 species
GGACAAGCCUAUCUGCAGUCGAACGAGCUUCCGUUGAAUGACGUGCUUGCACUGAUUUCAACAAUGAAGCGAGUGGCGAACUGGUGAGUAACACGUGGGAAAUCUGCCCAGAAGCAGGGGAUAACACUUGGAAACAGGUGCUAAUACCGUAUAACAACAAAAUCCGCAUGGAUUUUGUUUGAAAGGUGGUUUCGGCUAUCACUUCUGGAUGAUCCCGCGGCGUAUUAGUUAGUUGGUGAGGUAAAGGCCCACCAAGACGAUGAUACGUAGCCGACCUGAGAGGGUAAUCGGCCACAUUGGGACUGAGACACGGCCCAAACUCCUACGGGAGGCAGCAGUAGGGAAUCUUCCACAAUGGACGAAAGUCUGAUGGAGCAAUGCCGCGUGAGUGAAGAAGGGUUUCGGCUCGUAAAACUCUGUUGUUAAAGAAGAACACCUUUGAGAGUAACUGUUCAAGGGUUGACGGUAUUUAACCAGAAAGCCACGGCUAACUACGUGCCAGCAGCCGCGGUAAUACGUAGGUGGCAAGCGUUGUCCGGAUUUAUUGGGCGUAAAGCGAGCGCAGGCGGUUUUUUAAGUCUGAUGUGAAAGCCUUCGGCUUAACCGGAGAAGUGCAUCGGAAACUGGGAGACUUGAGUGCAGAAGAGGACAGUGGAACUCCAUGUGUAGCGGUGGAAUGCGUAGAUAUAUGGAAAGAACACCAGUGGCGAAAGGCGGCUGUCUAGUCUGUUAACUGACGCUGAGGCUCGAAAGCUUGGGUUAGCGAAACAGGAUUAGUUACCCUGGUAGGU